rnacentral:lncRNA from 1 species
ACAUGCAAAACGCCAAGGUCCCGUGGGUGGGAAGCCGGUCAGGGAAAUGGGUAAAAGCUUUCAAGGUUUGUUUUGUUUUGUUUUGAUUUUGCUUUGUUGUGUUCUGUGGUUUUGAGCCAGGGCCACGUGUUACCGUAAACCAUGCUGUGUAGUAGAGCAAGACCUUCACUACCAAUCUUCCUGCCUCUACUUCUGAAGUGCUGAGAAUACAGGUGAGAAGACACCCCUGUGUGUGUGGGGGGGUGCUCAUCCCCAAAUAACAUACCACGGAGGCAAAGAAGGACGAACUGGAGGUGUUUGAAGCUCACCCAACCCUGUGAUCACCAAUUCCCACCGAGGUGUUUGAAGCUUGCCCAACCCCGUGAGCACCAGUUCCCACCUGCUGGAAGACGCUGAGCCUAAAGCAGCUUCAGCCCAGAGGGAGGAGUUAGAGCCACAGUGUUUUCAAAUGAACCACACACAGCUUGUGUAGAGUCCACACAUGGCAUGGCACCCAAGGGCUGUGGAACACCUACGGGGCUUUCAGAUGAGUGAGGCCCCGGAGCUUUGUGUCCUGUUGGAGAUGACUGCUAACUUCUACAGCGUGUCUGUGUGGUUCCUGGUUUUCAUCUCUCAAGAGAAGUGCGGGGUGGAGACAGACCAGUGCUCCUCGCAGGCAACUUUCCGGGCUGUCAGGGUUGAGGUUAAGUGAGAAUCCAAAGCAGAGUAUGGGUCCAACCUUCUCCCAGUGGUAGCGGGGUGCCUGGCUGUCUAAAGGAGCUGUAGGACGGAGUGCCACACAGCACAGAUCAGCAGGAUGGGGCUGCAUACAAAAUACGCUGAGGAUGCUCACCGCAUGCCUAAGACAUUCUCUGGUAUUGAGACAACCUUCCCCAAAGCGUGGCUAAAGCACAGGUCCUUCCCUGUCCAUCACUGGGGAAUCGGGCCUGUUUCUGUGACAGCAGCAACAAAUGGGUAAUGGGGGACCAAUCAGAAAGCCCCUUGCUGCACACGUGACAUGAGACCCUCCCUACACACAGCCUAAAGCAGCCAGCAGCAUUGGAGGUUUCUGUGGGGUACCCAGCCCUAGCCCAGGCUGGCUGUCCAGCUCUGCCCAGGCUGUCCAUCUCUUUGCCUCUGCAGCACUGUGAACACCACCCGGUGUAUAAGCUCAUCCUAGCAGCCUGGAUGAUCAGUGUGAGCUUGGCAUUGGCAGCUAUUUCAAAACAGUUGCCAAACACUUUAAAACAAAAAAACCAAAAUAAAAAAAAAAAACAAACAAAGACA